rnacentral:ncRNA from 1 species
AAAAAGUUUUAUUCUUGCUUUAUUAUUUAUUUUAUUAUUAUUUUAUAUGUUAAUUUUUAUAUAAGUUAAAUUCUAAAUGGAUUUAUUAUGUUAGGUUAGUGCAGUAAUGAAUAUUAUACAUUUAGGUUACUUUGAUUUAGUUAUUAUUAUUAAUUAUUGAUUAAAUAUGUGCCAGCAAUCGCGGUUAUACGUUGAAUGAGAAUAAAUAUUUAUUAGUUGAUAUGGUUAUAUUUGUAGUGUUAAUUUUGUUUUGAUUAUUUAUUAGGUGAAAUUAUUAAUAUUUGUUUAUUUAUUAUUUAUUUAAAUAAGAGGCCAUUAAAUUUAAAAUAUAUAAACUAGGAUUAGAUACCCUAUUAUUUUUUAUGUAAAUUUUGUUAACUAGGGUAGUAUUAGAUUGUUCUUGAAACUUAAAGAAUUUGGCGGUGUUUUAUAUCUUUUUAGAGGAAUCUGUUCCUUAAUCGAUAAUCCGCGUUGGACCUUACUUUUUAUAUUAGUUUGUAUACCGCCGUUGUUGAAUAUUUUUUUAGAAUUAAUUAAUUUUCUUUAUUUUUUAUUAAAGUUUAUUUCAGGUCAAGGUGCAGCUUAUGAUUAAAGUGGAGAUGGAUUACAAUAUUUUUUUAAUAAACGGAUAUUAUUAGUAUAAAUUUUUUGAAGGUGGAUUUAAUAGUAAUUUUUUGUAGAUUAUUAAGGUGAAUUAAAGCUCUAAAACAUGUACAUAUCGCCCGUCGCUCUCGUUAUUUUAUAAAAUGAGAUAAGUCGUAACAAAGUAGAUGUACUGGAAAGUGCAUCUAGAAUUUU